AAAAAACUAUAAGUUGCAAUUAUAAUGUUGAACCAAAAAUGCUUCCAGAUAUGAUUUUUGAUAUUGAAUCUGAUGGACUCAAUAUAUUGAGAAAAUAGAGUUGGCGAUGUAUUAGCAUUCCAGUUAUUUUACUAUUAUUUAAAAAUGGGAGUUGGGGUGUACGGACAGGGGUAAUUUUAUAAUUAUGAAUGUUCGGCAUGGGCAUUUUGGAACUACUCUGUGGGCCUUUUUCUCUCUCCCUCCUCGACCCCCUUACUUCUUAUCCGUCGAUCAGCAACACCCACAUGCGAGAACGCCGGUGACCAAACGCAGGUUGUUAGUCAUGGCAUUUGGCGAUGAGCGUGAGGCGUAUGAGUGAGCAGCCAGAGCAGCCCUGGAUGGUGUUUGUAAAGGCCAGUGGGAGUUUAAAGAAGCAUGUCAGUGUCGGUGACCUCGGGUGUGCACCGAGACGAAUUUCCAGGUUCUACUCGCGGGAUUUGGUAUUGUCCGCUUGAUGAAAUCUUUUAAUUCACAACCACUCCAGCCUUUCUUUGGUGGAGACGAGACACUUCAUGGACCAGUGGUGAUUGGUGUGAGUUGGAGUUAAUUGAUUAGCACCAAAUUAAUAAAGAGUCGCAGGUAUAUAAGUUUUCUUCUAAUUUUUUAUGCAGCUACCAAUAAGUAAACGCUCUAUUUCAUGUCAUUGACCAUCUUUUAUUUGGAAACUGGGACUUACUUUCCCAAUUGAUAUGUGCUUCAUUUCCGGACUUACCCCAAAUGUCGCUAUAGAUGAAACUGGAAUUCUGAGAAAUGAUGGUGCUAGGCAUAAAGUUUAAUUGGUUAGUUUUUGCUAGAUAUCUAUAUUAAUUCCUUA